rnacentral:ncRNA from 1 species
AUACUGCGGUGAAUACGUUCCCGGGCCUUGUACACACCGCCCGUCACACCACGAAAGCUGACAACACCCGAAGCCGGUGACUUAACCGAAAGGAGAGAGCCGUCGAAGGUGGGGUUGGUGAUUGGGGUGAAGUCGUAACAAGGUAGCCGUAUCGGAAGGUGCGGCUGGAUCACCUCCUUU